UACGGAAGGCAGCAGUGGGGAAUAUUGCACAAUGGGCGAAAGCCUGAUGCAGCUAUGCCGCGUGUAUGAAGAAGGCCUUAGGGUUGUAAAGUACUUUCAUCGGGGAGGAAAAAACAAAACUAAUAAUUUUAUUUCUUGACGUUACCCGAAAAAGAAGCACCGGCUAACUCCGUGCCAGCAGCCGCGGUAAUACGGAGGGUGCUAGCGUUAAUCAGAAUUACUGGGCGUAAAGAGCACGUAGGUGGUUUUUUAAGUUCAGAUGUGAAAUCCCUGGGCUUAACCUAGGAACUGCAUUUGAAACUGAAAUACUAGAGUAUCGUAGAGGGAGGUAGAAUUCUAGGUGUAGCGGUGAAAUGCGUAGAUAUCUGGAGGAAUACCUGUGGCGAAAGCGGCCUCCUAAACGAAUACUGACACUGAGGUGCGAAAGCGUGGGGAGCAAACAGGGAUUAGAUACC
rnacentral:rRNA from 1 species